CUCUUUAGCUUGGCAUUUGAAUCGGCUUUGCUGUUGCGAAGUAGAGUGGCGGCUUCGGCUGCCGAGGGUCGAUCCAUUUGGGAAAUGUUGUGUACUUCGGUAUGCAUCUCAAUUGGACCUGAUAUCAGGCAAGAUUACCCGCUGAACUUAAGCAUAUUAAUAAGCGGAGGAAAAGAAACUAACAAGGAUUCCCCUAGUAACGGCGAGUGAAGCGGGAAGAGCUCAAGCUUAAAAUCUCCGUGCAAGUUUUGCGCGGCGAAUUGUAGUCUAUAGAGGCGUGAUCAGUGUGGGCGCUUGGGGCAAGUUCCUUGGAAGAGGACAGCAUGGAGGGUGAUACUCCCGUUCAUCCCUGAGUUGCUCGUGCGUACGAUCCGUUUUCUUUGAGUCGCGUUGUUUGGGAAUGCAGCGCAAAGUAGGUGGUAAAUUCCAUCUAAAGCUAAAUAUUGGUGCGAGACCGAUAGCGAACAAGUACCGUGAGGGAAAGAUGAAAAGAACUUUGAAAAGAGAGUUAAAGAGUACCUGAAACUGCUGAAAGGGAACCGAAUCGUUUCCAGUGUCUAUAAUCCGUGGUAUAUUUCAUUGGCGAGUGUGUGCGUGCGUGUGCUGUGGCAGCGGCUUUUUUGGCUGCGCUCGGCGUGUGUGCUGUGUGUGCUUGCUGGUGCCCUGUGCUGCGGUGGGACGUCAAGGUCAGUUCGUAUGCUGCGGGAAAUGGCCGCCGAGGAGGUAGGGCUUACGCUUGCGUUUGUCUGUUAUAUCUUGGUGGACGAGUAGUCGCGGUUGGGACUGAGGUGCCUACAACGUGUUUUUGAGUGGGCCUGUGUCUCUGUGUGCGCCGUGUGCGGAUAGCUUUGCUAUGCGUGUGUGGGUUGUGUGUGGAUUGAUGUGGGUUUUAACUUGUUGCCGUUCGGGACGUUGACGAAAUGGAGCGAUUUGACCCGUCUUGAAACACGGACCAAGGAGUCUAACAUGUGUGCAAGUGUUAGGGUGUGGAAACCCCAGCGCGAAAUGAAAGUGAAGGGCAGCGUAAGUUGUCUGAGGUAGGAAAUGCUGCGGGCUUCGGUCUGCGGUGUGGCACUAUCGACCGAUCAUGAACCUUCGUGGUGAAAGAUUUGAGUUUGAGCACAUAUGUUGGUACCCGAAAGAUGGUGAACUAUGCCUGAGUAGGGUGAAGCCAGGGGAAACUCUGGUGGAAGCUCGUAGCGAUUCUGACGUGCAAAUCGAUCGUCAAACUUGGGUAUAGGGGCGAAAGACUAAUCGAACCAUCUAGUAGCUGGUUCCCUUCCGAAAUUUCCCUCAGGAUAGCAGCAACUUAUUUACGAUAGUUUUUAUGAGGUAAAGCGAAUGAUUAGAGGAUUCGGGGAAGAAACUUCCUCGACCUAUUCUCAAACUUUAAAUCUGUAAGACCUGCAGGUUUCUUAAUUGAACUUGUGGAUGUGAAUAUCAAGUUGCUAGUGGGCCAUACGGGGUAAGCUCGUCUGGCGAUGCGGGAUGAACCGAACGCAAAGUUAAAGUGCCAAAAUGCUCGCUCACCUAGAUACCAUAAAAGGUGUUGGUUCAUUUAGACAGCAGGACGGUGGCCAUGGAAGUCGGAAUCCGCUAAGGAGUGUGUAACAACUCACCUGCCGAAUGAACUAGCCCUGAAAAUGGAUGGCGCUAAAGCGGGCUACUUAUACUUUGCCGUUAGCGCGAUAGCAUUUAUAAUGUACGCGUUAAUGAGUAGGAGGGCGUGAAGGUCGUGAAGAAGCUCGUGGCGUGAGCCUGAGUGAAACGGCCUUUAGUGCAGAUCUUGGUGGUAGUAGCAAAUAUUCAAAUGCGAACUUUGAAGACUGAAGUGGAGAAAGGUUCCGUGUGAUCAGUAAUUGGACACGGGUGAGUCGAUCCUAAGAGAUAGGAUAAUUCCGUUUGAAAGCUGGGCUGUUUGAGGCGUGGGGUUCGUCCUUGCGUUUUGUAUGCAGCCUCGUGUAUCGAAAGGGAAUCAGGUUAAUAUUCCUGAACCGAGACGUGGAUAAUAUGUGGUAACACAACCGACCCAGGAGACGCUAGCGUGUGCCCAGGGAAGAGUUCUCUUGUUCUUUUUAACAAGCAUAUCCUACCUUGGAAACGGAUU
rnacentral:rRNA from 1 species